CGGAGGAAGUGGGGAUGACGUCAAAUCAUCAUGCCCUUAUGUUCCUGGGCUACACACGUGCUACAAUGGUCGGCACAAUAGGUUGCCAAGUCGUGAGACGGAGCCAAUCCUCCAAAGCCGGCCUCAGUUCAGAUUGCAGGCUGCAACUCGCCUGCAUGAAGUUGGAGUUGCUAGUAAACGCAGGUCAGCUAUACUGCGUUGAAUACGUUCCCGGGGAUU
rnacentral:rRNA from 1 species